UACAGAGGUCCCAAGCGUUGUUCGGAUUCAUUGGGCGUAAAGGGUGCGUAGGUGGCGUCGUAAGUCGGGUGUGAAAUCUCGGGGCUUAACUCCGAAACUGCAUUCGAUACUGCGGUGCUUGAGGACUGGAGAGGAGACUGGAAUUUACGGUGUAGCAGUGAAAUGCGUAGAGAUCGUAAGGAAGACCAGUGGCGAAGGCGGGUCUCUGGACGAACACUGACGCUGAGACGCGAAAGCGUGGGUAGCAAACAGG
rnacentral:rRNA from 1 species